rnacentral:rRNA from 1 species
CCUACGGGUGGCUGCAGUGAGGAAUAUUGGUCAAUGGCCGGAAGCCUGAACCAGCCAAGCCGCGUGCGGGAAGACGGCUCUAUGGUUUGUAAACUUCUUUUAUACGGGGAUAAAUCUGAAUACGUGUAUCCAGCUGAAAGUACCCUACGAAUAAGGAUCGGCUAACUCCGUGCCAGCAGCCGCGGUAAUACGGAGGAUCCGAGCGUUAUCCGGAUUUAUUGGGUUUAAAGGGUGCGUAGGUGGAUUUUUAAGUUAGGGGUGAAAGGUCGUGGCUCAACCAGGGAAUUGCCGUUAAGACUGGGGGUCUAGAGUGUGGUUGAGGUAGGCGGAAUGCAUGGUGUAGCGGUGAAAUGCAUAGAGAUCACGCAGAACACCGAUUGCGAAGGCAGCUUACCAAGCCAUAACUGACGCUGAGGCACGAAAGCGUGGGGAUCAAACAGGAUUAGAUACCCUAGUAGUC